rnacentral:lncRNA from 1 species
CUAUAACCAGCUGCUCUACCUCAAUCAAUUAUACCCAAUUGACUUGAGAGAAUCCUAAGUUUAUCAAUGAUUUCUUUGGAUCUAAGCUUAUACACCUAACCGGAUGUGAAGCUUACAAAUUUAUACACUCAAAGUACUCUACAAAAUAUGAUCCUAGAUUUCUAGAGAGCUUUAGAGUAUGAGUGAAAAGAAGAGCUUGAUUGCUUGAGAUGGAAUGUAUUUAGAUUGCUUUGUAUGCUUCAAGUUCUUGCUCUUCCCAUUAAACCAACGUGCUAUUUAUAGAUGGAGAUGCUCCCUUGAUGCUUGGACAUCACACAUAUUCGUUGUGAGUGAAAAAAUAGCCGUUGAGAGACAAACAAAACAGCCCAUGUGAUUCUGUCCUUCAGAUGCUUCAGGAGAUC